UACGGAGGGUGCAAACGUUGCUCGGAAUUAUUGGGCGUAAAGCGCACGUAGGCGGUCCAGCAAGUCGGGUGUGAAAGCCCUCGGCUUAACCGAGGAAGUGCAUUCGAAACUACUGGACUUGAAUACUGAAGAGGAUCGCGGAAUUCCCGGUGUAGAGGUGAAAUUCGUAGAUAUCGGGAGGAACACCGGUGGCGAAGGCGGCAUCCUGGACCAAUAUUGACGCUGAGGAGCGAAAGCCAGGGGAGCAAACGGG
rnacentral:rRNA from 1 species